GCUUGCAUGGUCUAACGGUUAUGACUCCAGAUUCUGAUUCUGGCAGCGGCGGUUCGACUCCGCCUGUGAGCU
rnacentral:tRNA from 1 species